GUAGGUGGCAAGCGUUGUCCGGAAUUAUUGGGCGUAAAGCGCGCGCAGGCGGUUCUUUAAGUCUGAUGUGAAAGCCCACGGCUCAACCGUGGAGGGUCAUUGGAAACUGGAGAACUUGAGUACAGGAGAGGAAAGCGGAAUUCCACGUGUAGCGGUGAAAUGCGUAGAGAUGUGGAGGAACACCAGUGGCGAAGGCGGCUUUCUGGUCUGUAACUGACGCUGAGGCGCGAAAGCGUGGGGAGCAAACAGGGAUUAGAUACCCUGGUAGUCCACGCCGUAAACGAUGAGUGCUAAGUGUUAGGGGGUUUCCGCCCCCCUUAGUGCUGCAGCUAACGCAUUAAGCACUCCGCCUGGGGAUACGGCCGCAAGGCUG
rnacentral:rRNA from 1 species